rnacentral:lncRNA from 1 species
AAGAACUGGUGUAGCCCAAGAAGGAGGAGAAGCAACAGGGGCAGCACCUGGAGCACCAACAGGAGCGGGUCCAGAAGCUAAAACUGGAGCAGCACCGGGAGCACCAACAGGAGCAGCACCAGGAGAACCAGCAGGAGCAGCACCAACAACAUCGGCAGCAGGUGCACCAGGAACAACAGGAGUGGGAGCAGGUGCAUCGGUUUUAUCCCAAGGUAAUUUGAAUCCAGAGAAUCCACCUUGGAAAGCAUUAACGAUUGAAGAAAUCUGUGAAACAACAGCAAGUGAAUUGCUG